rnacentral:rRNA from 1 species
AAGUCCCGCAACGAGCGCAACCCUUAUUGCUAGUUACCAUCAUUAAGUUGGGGACUCUAGCGAGACUGCCAGUGAUAAACUGGAGGAAGGUGGGGAUGACGUCAAAUCAUCGUGCCCCUUAUGGCCUGGGCUACAAACGUAAUACAAUGGCGUAUACAAAGGGAUGCGAAAGGGCGACCUGGAGCAAAACUCACAAAGUACGUCUCAGUUCAGAUUGGAGUCUGCAACUCGACUCCAUGAAGGCGGAAUCGCUAGUAAUCGCGGAUCAGCAUGCCGCGGUGAAUACGUUCUCGGGGUUU